rnacentral:rRNA from 1 species
UGUCCUACGGGACACAGCAGUAGGGAAUUUUCGUCAAUGGGCGCAAGCCUGAACGAGCAAUGCCGCGUGAACGAGGAAGGUCUUCGGAUCGUAAAGUUCUGUUGAAGGGGAAAAAGAGCGGAGAGAGGAAAUGGUCUCCGAUUGAUAUUACCCUUCGAGGAAGUCACGGCUAACUACGUGCCAGCAGCCGCGGUAAUACGUAGGUGGCGAGCGUUAUCCGGAAUGAUUGGGCGUAAAGGGUGCGUAGGCGGCCUGCUAAGUCUGGAGUGAAAGGUACCGGCUCAACCGGAGAAUUGCAUCAGAAA